CGCAACUUGCGCCCUCUGGUAUUCCGGAGGGCAUGCCUGUUUGAGUGUCAUGUAGACUCAUCUAAUCGGGUUUCUGAUCUAGAUGGAUUUGGGGGUUUUGCCUUUGUUGGCUCUCCUUAAAAGCAUUAUGCAGACGUAAUAAGUUUCGUCGUACGCAUACCAAAAUAUUACAUUGUACUCUGGCCUCAAAUCAGGUAGGGCUACCCGCUGAACUUAA
rnacentral:misc_RNA from 1 species